rfam:Myotis davidii contig8000, whole genome shotgun sequence.
GGUGGUUCUCGGGUAAUGCAUCCCAGAAUUGGGCUCCCUCCUCUCUGGGUCCAGGUACGUCACCCAAGAACCACC